GUGCCAGCAGCCGCGGUAAUACGGAGGAUCCAAGCGUUAUCCGGAAUCAUUGGGUUUAAAGGGUCCGUAGGCGGUCAGGUAAGUCAGUGGUGAAAGCCCAUCGCUCAACGGUGGAACGGCCAUUGAUACUGUCUGACUUGAAUUAUUAGGAAGUAACUAGAAUAUGUAGUGUAGCGGUGAAAUGCUUAGAGAUUACAUGGAAUACCAACUGCGAAGGCAGGUUACUACUAAUAUAUUGACGCUGAUGGACGAAAGCGUGGGUAGCGAACAGGAUUAGAUACCCUGGUAGUCCACGCCGUAAACGAUGGAUACUGGCUGUUGGGAGCAAUCUCAGUGGCUAAGCGAAAGUGAUAAGUAUCCCACCUGGGGAGUACGUUCGCAAGAAUGAAACUCAAAGGAAUUGACGGGGGCCCGCACAAGCGGUGGAGCAUGUGGUUUAAUUCGAUGAUACGCGAGGAACCUUACCAAGGCUUAAAUGUAGAUUGACCGGUUUGGAAACAGACUUUUCGCAAGACAAUUUACAAGGUGCUGCAUGGUUGUCGUCAGCUCGUGCCGUGAGGUGUCAGGUUAAGUCCUAUAACGAGCGCAACCCCUGUUGUUAGUUGCCAGCGAGUCAUGUCGGGAACUCUAACAAGACUGCCAGUGCAAACUGUGAGGAAGGUGGGGAUGACGUCAAAUCAUCACGGCCCUUACGCCUUGGGCUACACNCGUGCUNCAAUGGCCGGUACAGANAGCAGCCACUGGGUGACCANGANCGAAUCUAUAAAACCGGUCACAGUUCGGAUCGGAGUCUGCAANUCGACUCCNUGAAGCUGGAAUCGCUAGUAAUCGG
rnacentral:rRNA from 1 species